AGCAGCCGCGGUAAUUCCAGCUCCAAUAGCGUAUAUUAAAGUUGUUGCAGUUAAAAAGCUCGUAGUUGAAUUUCGGGAUCAAGGAAUCGGUCAUGCCUCGGUAUGUACUGGUUUUAUUGGUUCUCACCUUCUAAAGAACCAUAAUGUCAUUCAUUUGAUGUUAUGGGGAAUUAGGACUGUUACCUUGAAAAAAUUAGAGUGUUUAAAGCAGGCUUACGCUUGAAUACAUUAGCAUGGAAUAAUGAAAUAGGACGUUUGAUUCUAUUUUGUUGGUUUCUAGGAUCGACGUAAUGAUUAAUAGGGAUAGUUGGGGGCAUUAGUAUUCAAUUGUCAGAGGUGAAAUUCUUGGAUUUAUUGAAGACUAACUACUGCGAAAGCAUUUGCCAAGGAUGUUUUCAUUAAUCAAGAACGAAAGUUAGGGGAUCGAAGACGAUCAGAUACCGUCGUAGUCUUAACCAUAAACUAUGCCGACUAGGGAUCGGAUGAUGUUAAUUUUUUAAUGUACUCA
rnacentral:rRNA from 1 species